rnacentral:rRNA from 1 species
GACGAACGCUGGCGGCGUGCUUAACACAUGCAAGUCGAACGAUGACAGAGAGCUUGCUCUCUGGAUUAGUGGCGAACGGGUGAGUAACACGUGAGCAAUCUGCCUCUCACUCUGGGAUAACACUUGGAAACAGGUGCUAAUACCGGAUAUGACCUCGAAGGGCAUCCUUUGAGGUGGAAAGAAUUUCGGUGAGAGAUGAGCUCGCGGCCUAUCAGCUUGUUGGUGGGGUAAUGGCCUACCAAGGCGACGACGGGUAGCCGGCCUGAGAGGGUGACCGGCCACCAUGGGACUGAGACACUGCCCAGACUCCUACGGGAGGCAGCAGUGGGGAAUAUGGCACAAUGGGCGAAAGCCUGAUGCAGCAACGCCGCGUGGGGGACGAAGGCCUUCGGGUUGUAAACCUCUUUUAGCAGGGAAGAAGCGAAAGUGACGGUACCUGCAGGAAAAGCACCGGCUAGCUACGUGCCAGCCGCCGCAGUAACAC